rnacentral:rRNA from 1 species
UACGUAGGGUGCGAGCGUUGUCCGGAAUUAUUGGGCGUAAAGAGCUCGUAGGCGGCUUGUCGCGUCGGCUGUGAAAACUCGGGGCUCAACCCCGAGCCUGCAGUCGAUACGGGCAGGCUGGAGUCCGGCAGGGGAGACUGGAAUUCCUGGUGUAGCGGUGAAAUGCGCAGAUAUCAGGAGGAACACCGGUGGCGAAGGCGGGUCUCUGGGCCGGAACUGACGCUAAGGAGCGAAAGCGUGGGGAGCGAACGGG